GCCAUGGCUCAAUCGGCACAGCAUGAGACUUUUAAUCUCAGUGUCAUGAGUUUGAGCCCCAUGCCUCAACU